UUACAAGAAACAAUUGACUUUUUAGAUUCGUUGAAUAAUUAAUGUAUUUGGUCUAUAUUCUAGACCGGGUACAUAAAUUAUUCAAUGAACCUAAAAAGUCAAUUGUUUCUUGUAA
rfam:Medicago truncatula strain A17 chromosome 3, whole genome shotgun sequence.